UACGUAGGGUCCGAGCGUUGUCCGGAUUUACUGGGCGUAAAGCGUGCGCAGGCGGUUAUGCAAGGCAGAUGUGAAAUCCCCGGGCUCAACCUGGGAACUGCAUUUGUGACUGCAUGGCUAGAGUACGGUAGAGGGGGAUGGAAUUCCGCGUGUAGCAGUGAAAUGCGUAGAUAUGCGGAGGAACACCGAUAGCGAAGGCAAUCCCCUGGACCUGUACUGACGCUCAUGCACGAAAGCGUGGGGAGCAAACAGG
rnacentral:rRNA from 1 species